rnacentral:misc_RNA from 1 species
ACUUUAAAUGGAAUUUAUUAAUGCGCAUGCGUCAAAAGUAAUUUUCGAUUGGUAGAGCAAUGGAUACACGCAUCCAUGAUAGAGAUAGUAGUUAAAAAAGAACGUAACGCAAAGGAGUAAGAAAAAGAUAGAAAACGCCAUCUUGCGCAUGCAAAGAAGAGUGAGAGAGAUAGAAACCACCGCCAAUAUGAUUACUCGAUCACUUGUUCUCAGUAGUAAAGCAAAGUUGGGUGAGAGGGUCGGUUUGUCGUAUAUUUGGAGCGAAACACAAACUCAAGAAAGAAAUUUUUGUUUGUUUUCACAUAUAUCGUAAUUGUAAAUAAUAUUUUGUGCCACCAAAGAAUGGCAACUACCAAAGACGACAGCACCGAUAGCGUGCAAUUUUUUGAAGGAGUGGAGAAACUUCUUGAGAUUUGGUUCACAAGCAGCAGCAGCAUAAACAGAAAGCAGGGCGAUCUUAGGCAGAUUCCUCAAUGGAAGUGGCAAUCAUUAUUAAAAAUCGUUCGUUGUGAGAUUAUCAGCAUUUGUCGUACCGAGCAUGUAGAUGCUUAUGUUCUCAGUGAAAGCAGCAUGUUCCUAUCAAAACGUAGACUUAUUUUGAAAACAUGUGGUACAACUACUCCUCUUCAAUGUUUGGAGCCUCUUUUGGAACUCAUAAAAGAAUAUACUGGCUUUGAAGAAGUAGAGAAUGUAUUUUAUUCAAGAAAAAAUUACAAGAAGCCAGAAUUGCAAAUAUCUCCGCAUCAAGCAUUUGAAGAAGAAGUUGGUUUACUUGAUACAUUUUUUCCAGGUGGAGAAGCCUAUUGUUUAGGUUCUGUAGAUUCAGAUUGUUGGUAUUUAUAUACUUUGAAUAAAGAAAAGUCUGUUGAUGAACCCUCAGAACCAGAUCAAACCUUAGAAAUCUUAAUGACUCAUUUAGAUCCAGAAAUAAUGGCUCUUUUCACUAGAGAUGUAUGCUCGUCUGCAGAUGAAGCAACUCAAAAAUCAGGAAUUGACAAACUUAUACCAAAUAUGAUUAUUGAUGAUUUUUUAUUUGAACCUUGUGGAUAUUCAAUGAAUGGAGUAUCUAAAAAUGGAAAUUAUAUGACUAUUCAUAUCACACCAGAACCAGAGUUUUCAUAUGUCUCAUUUGAGAGUAACAUUCCAGAAGCAUCAUAUGAGGAAAUAAUACGACGUGUAUUGAACACUUUUAAACCAAAAAAAUUUGUUGUAACCGUCUUUGCUAACAAAGAAUCAAUAGCUGCUAGUUGUCCGCGUGACUUAGAACAAACUGAUUUUCUAAAAUGUUCUGGUGAUUGGCUACGUACAGAUGUACAAUAUUGUCGUUUCAAGAAUUAUGAUUUGACUUGUGCAUUUUAUUCAAGAUUCCCAAGCUGAGGGUUCAUGGACGCUUCAUUCGGACCUAAUGAAUCAGGGACAAAUGAAGCGCUUAUUAAUAAUUCUACUUUUUCGCAAACUUCUUUUUCUUUUUCUAAUUCCAUAAAUGAAAAAAACAAAUUUAAUCAAUCUAUAAAACAUAUAUUAAAACCUACAAAUAUUUACAAAAAACAUAAUCUUGUAUCUACUCAAUAUAUAAAACAUAAUAAUGAAACAAAUCUUAAUGAAUGCACUAUUACACAAAAUUCUAUAAUUACCCGAGGAAAGAAUGUUACAACAUCCACAAUUCCACUAAUUACAUCCACGCCACAAUCCAUUAAUCCUGAUGUGUCUAUAGAAGAUAAAUAUUUAAAUAGAAAAAGUAACGAUUGUCAUCCUUUGCAGAAUUAUAUGGAUAUUAAUAGAGCUUCCACAGAUAAAAAAGUACAUUUUUCUUGUAUUUCGGAAUUAACUCAAGAAAAUAAUUCGACUGAUACAAAAAAUAAGUGGAAUAUGGGAGAAGUACAUAUUACUUGUAAUCCACUUUCAACACCAUAUCCAUAUUCCACACCCCAUCAUAAUAUUAUAA